rnacentral:rRNA from 1 species
GAGGGGGACUGAGACACGGCCCCCACUCCUACGGGAGGCAGCAGCAGGGAAUCUUGCACAAUGGGCGAAAGCCUGAUGCAGCGACGCCGCGUGAGGGAUGAAGGUUCUAGGAUCGUAAACCUCUUUUCUUAGGGAAUAGUUUGGAAGGUACCUAAGGAAUAAGUCACGGCUAACUACGUGCCAGCAGCCGCGGUAAUACGUAGGUGGCAAAUGUUGUCCGGAAUCAUUGGGCGUAAAGGGUCCGUAGGUGGCAUGAAUAGUCUUAUGUGAAAUCUCUUGGCUCAACCAAGAAACGCCAUAAGAAACUUUCAUGCUAGAGAUCAUCAGAGGGAGGUAGAAUUCCAGGUGUAGUGGUGAAAUGCGUAGAUAUCUGGAGGAAUACCAAUGGCGAAAGCAGCCUCCUGGGGUGAAUCUGACAUUGAGGGACGAAAGCGUGGGUAGCAAACCGGAUUAGAUACCCGGGUAGUCCAUGCCGUAAACGAUGAAUACUGGGUCUUCGGGGAAUCGACCCCCUGUGGACCGAAGCUAACGCGUUAAGUAUUCCGCCUGGGGAGUACGGUCGCAAGACUAAAACUCAAAGGAAUUGACGGGGGCCCGCACAAGCAGCGGAGCGUGUGGUUUAAUUCGAUGGUAAACGAAGAACCUUACCUAGGUUUGACAUAUAAGUAGUACUGACCCGAAAGGUGAUGGACCCGCAAGGGAGCUUAUACAGGUGCUGCAUGGUUGUCGUCAGCUCGUGCCGUGAGGUGUUGGGUUAAGUCCCGCAACGAGCGCAACCCUCGUGGAUAGUUGUUUUCUUUAUCCAGACUGCUUUUACAAGAGGAAGGUGGGGAUGACGUCAAAUCAUCAUGGCUCUUACACCUAGGGCUACACACACGCUACAAUGGACAGUACAGACGGUUGCUAAGUCGCAAGAUGGAGCCAAUCCGAUAAAGCUGUCCCCAAUUGGGAUUGUAGGCUGAAACUCGCCUGCAUGAACCUGGAGU